rnacentral:rRNA from 1 species
UGGGGAAUUUUGGACAAUGGGCGAAAGCCUGAUCCAGCAAUGCCGCGUGCAGGAUGAAGGCCUUCGGGUUGUAAACUGCUUUUGUACGGAACGAAAAGGUCUGCCCUAAUACGGCGGGCCCAUGACGGUACCGUAAGAAUAAGCACCGGCUAACUACGUGCCAGCAGCCGCGGUAAUACGUAGGGUGCAAGCGUUAAUCGGAAUUACUGGGCGUAAAGCGUGCGCAGGCGGUUAUGUAAGACAGUUGUGAAAUCCCCGGGCUCAACCUGGGAACUGCAUCUGUGACUGCAUAGCUAGAGUACGGUAGAGGGGGAUGGAAUUCCGCGUGUAGCAGUGAAAUGCGUAGAUAUGCGGAGGAACACCGAUGGCGAAGGCAAUCCCCUGGACCUGUACUGACGCUCAUGCACGAAAGCGUGGGGAGCAAACA